CGAAAAAUAACGAUACGGGACUCAUCCGAGGCCCCGUAAUCGGAAUGAGUACACUUUAAAUCCUUUAACGAGGACCAAUUGGAGGGCAAGUCUGGUGCCAGCAGCCGCGGUAAUUCCAGCUCCAAUAGCGUAUAUUAAAGUUGUUGCGGUUAAAAAGCUCGUAGUUGAAUCUGUGUGUCACAGUGUCGGUUCACCGCUCGCGGUGUUUAACUGGCAUUAUGUGGUACGUCCUAUCGGUGGGCUUAGCUCCUUGCGGGCGGUCCAACUAAUAUCCCAUCGCGGUGCUCUUCACUGAGUGUCGAGGUGGGCCGAUACGUUUACUUUGAAAAAAUUAGAGUGCUUAAAGCAGGCUACCUUUGCCUGAAUACUGUGUGCAUGGAAUAAUGGAAUAGGACCUCGGUUCUAUUUUGUUGGUUUUCGGAACCCCGAGGUAAUGAUUAAUAGGGACAGAUGGGGGCAUUCGUAUUGCGACGUUAGAGGUGAAAUUCUUGGAUCGUCGCAAGACGGACAGAAGCGAAAGCAUUUGCCAAAAAUGUUUUCAUUAAUCAAGAACGAAAGUUAGAGGUUCGAAGGCGAUCAGAUACCGCCCUAGUUCUAACCAUAAACGAUGCCAGCCAGCGAUCCGCCGAAGUUCCUCCGAUGACUCGGCGGGCAGCUUCCGGGAAACCAAAGCUUUUGGGUUCCGGGGGAAGUAUGGUUGCAAAGCUGAAACUUAAAGGAAUUGACGGAAGGGCACCACCAGGAGUGGAGCCUGCGGCUUAAUUUGACUCAACACGGAAAA
rnacentral:rRNA from 1 species